GACGAACGCUGGCGGCGUGCCUAAUACAUGCAAGUUGAGCGCUGAAGGUUGGUACUUGUACCAACUGGAUGAGCAGCGAACGGGUGAGUAACGCGUGGGGAAUCUGCCUUUGAGCGGGGGACAACAUUUGGAAACGAAUGCUAAUACCGCAUAAAAACUUUAAACACAAGUUUUAAGUUUGAAAGAUGCAAUUGCAUCACUCAAAGAUGAUCCCGCGUUGUAUUAGCUAGUUGGUGAGGUAAAGGCCCACCAAGGCGAUGAUACAUAGCCGACCUGAGAGGGGAAUCGGCCACAUUGGGACUGGAACACGGCCCAAACUCCUACGGGAGGCAGCAGUAGGGAAUCUUCGGCAAUGGACGAAAGUCUGACCGAGCAACGCCGCGUGAGUGAAGAAGGUUUUCGGAUCGUAAAACUCUGUUGGUAGAGAAGAACGUUGGUGAGAGUGGAAAGCUCAUCAAGUGACGGUAACUACCCAGAAAGGGACGGCUAACUACGUG
rnacentral:rRNA from 1 species